AUUUAGACACCCUCUUAGGCCAGAGAAUUCCUCAUGGGCGCCAAACUCUUUUCCUAUAUUUUCCUUUCACGUGGCUUCUUAGACACGCUUUUCAUCGUAUCAUUCAAAACCCUAAUUAUCAUAUAGCUGAGGUGAUUCUCUAGCGAUUUCAUACAUCUGCGAUUUUAUUCGAAACACUUAAUCUCUAGUAGGGCGAUUCUCAUCAAAGUGAUUAUUGGAAACCCUAAAUUGUAACCAGUGGAAUUGAAUCCAGCCGUCCAUUGAGAAACCCUAUAAUCUUCAGAAAAGUUUGAAGCUUGAGAGAGAGAGAGAUUAAGAUCCGGAUCCAACAGAAAUUAGGUUUAGGGUUCUGAUAAUGGAGGACUGAAUCAAGAAGAAAAUGUGUAGCAGCAAUUCAUGGAGAUAACUCAAGGCCAUGCUUCAAAAAAACUGGCUUCUCAAAAUUCGUCAUCUGUACAUCACUCUCGCUGAGGGUAAACAACCUUAUACUAAUUUGCUGAAGAGAAAUGCUCAUGAGGCGAAAGAUGUGUUGGCGCACCCGCUGCCGCAUAAGCGUAGCGUUAGUCUACGUGACUCAGAUCCAUAUUAGGUAUUAAUAUCUGAUGAUAAGCAACUUGAAAUGAAUAGUGAUUGCCACACGUUAUCACCAGAUCCAUGUGGCUCCUCUUUUUAGAAACCAGACAUUAACCAAAUUUACACAACUUGAAGAGUAGAACAGUUUGAGAGAGAGAAGUGAAGCUAGAAUAGAGAGAGGACACGAUGAGAGAAAGAAAAGGACACGAUGAGAAAGAGAGAGAGAGAGAGAGAUCGGGAUCCUUUCCUGGCAUCGAUCGGCCAUAACUUCUUCUGGCCGUUUGCUAGAGUUAUUGCGGUACAAGUCGAAGGACAUUGAGCAGAAGAGGGCUGAGGCAAACAAGGUGGUUUCACGGCAGCGGUUUAGUGUUUUGAUUGGCGUCCAACAGCUGAUUGGCUCCUAUAUAUGUUUAUUCCGAGUAGAUUGGUGGUGAUAGAAAUGAGAUAUCGGCAAUCAAUCCUUCCUUCGCAUAACUGUUUUUUGAAAUCUGAAUGUAUGCUACAUCAUCUGUUGUUUUAUGGCGAUCAAGGUGUUAAAUGUACAACUGUAAGUUAACCAACUACAAAAAAACUGUGUGUUUGUCUAAUUUGUGUGAAUUAUCGGGUUCUUUGAUAUGAAAGUAAGUGUGUGUAUUACAGGGCCGUCUCCGAAAAUGAUAAAAAAGUUUUGGGCCCCGUGCGAGACAAAAACUUUGGGCCUCUUUCCUAUAAUAUAAACCCAUUAAUCAUAUAUAAAAAAACCCACAAUACGAUGAUAAUUAUUGUAAAAUAAACAAAACAAAAGUAGUGUAGCAAAAUGAACAAAAUUACUUACUUAAGCGAAUCGUGAGCCUUUUUUAGCAUUUUCAAAAUAAAGCUCUAGAUAAAGUAUUUAUAUAAUUCAUGCCAUUUCUUCUCUAUAUUUCAUGUAUCAUAGUUAUCCAUGUUCAUAGAGUGAAUGCUAGUAUCGAUUAAAAACAAUAAAUCCUAUUUUUAUGUUACAAAUAAAUUAAUACACAUAACAUUAGUUUCAAUACUCUCUGGAUAAGCAAAAAUAACUAACACUUGAAUCCUUAAAUCAAAAAGAACUGUAAUAUGUUUAAACAUAUUCAAACUAAUUUGGCAACACGAAUCUUUUCAUACAAAAAAGGAUAAAUCGAGCAAGAUAUUGAGUUCUUUUAAGUUUAUAUUGUAGAUGGUUAAAUGAGAAAUUAGAAACCUACAAAUUUAAACAAGAAAACAUGUAAAGUUUAUUAUGUAAAUGGUUAAAUGAGAAGGAAAAAAAUCGGAGAAGUUUACAAAUUUAUUGAGGCCCAAAUUUAAAUAUGGCUAUAUGGGGUCUUUCCCCUUGUUUUAUAAUCAGUAUCCUUGAGGCCUAAGAAAAAACAUAACAUUAGAUAAAGAAAAUAAGUACAGAAAAGUGACCAGCCUGAGAUUCGAACCCGGGAUGGCCAAUUCAACAGAAAGAAGACGCAUCCACUGAACCACUAGAUGAACUUUUUAAUACUUUUCUACACUAAUUGUAUAUAUAUUUAUAUAUUUUAAAUAAUUUUGGGCCUCUAGAUAUUUUGGGCCCUGUGCGGUGGCACCUCCCGCACACUGUAUUAUGAUGUGGAAUUCCGAUAGGGAAAGCUGUAGUUCGCAUCAGGACUCAGUUUCAAUGGUAUUUGUUGUGGUCAACUUUGAUGCUAUGGGUAGACAGUUUGGAUUCUCGAAAGUAAGCUACUACACAACUAUUUUAUUACCUAAGAUCCCUUUUGAGGAUGCCCACAUUCCGGGUUGUGAUGACACUUGGUGGAUUUCUUGGGCUAGCAGUUAGCUUCAAUUCUACGCGGUUUCUUCAUCAAACAGGGGCAAGUACAUAAA